rnacentral:lncRNA from 1 species
ACAGAUCUUGCUAGACAAUUUCAUGGUGUGUUAUUGUGUUAGUGCUUUAUAUUCGGACAUGUCAUGCUCUAUAGUGUGUUAGCCAAUUUCAUAGUAGAUUACCAGCCAGCAACACCACUCACAAAGGUGACUGUGUGAUUGAUGCUUCCGGGGCAGUGGCUAUCUUCUCAAGAUCAUAGCUCUGGGUAUGCUGUAAAAUUCUACAGAUUUUGUGCUUGUCCUACAGCACUCUACGACAAUCAAACACGAGUGAAAAUUAUACCGUCUUUGUCCCAACUACAGUUCUCCUUAAACACUUGCUAAAUGUUGUAUUUUAACUGUGUUAUCAGAUGGACUCGUGUUCUGACAUGGGCUGGAAUUUUUUUACCUAUGAUUGAAGCUACAUCAGCCGUGAAGAGGGUGGGUAG